CGGCAAGGUAGAGGGAACUGUGACCACGCACAGAGCAGGCCCAGUGGCCUGCUGAGGGGCAGAGCCACCCCCCACCCCCGCGCCUGCCAGGUGACCACCGACAGAAAAGGCCCAGUGGCCCGCGGUGGGACAGAGCUUCCAAUCACUCCUGCAAGGUAGGCGGGCCUGCGACCCACCGGCAGAAGAGGAGCAGCGGCCUGCUGAGAGGCUGAGCCGCCCCCUCCCCCUGCGCCGGCAAGGUAGAGGGAACUGUGACCACGCACAGAGCAGGCCCAGCGGCCUGCUGAGGGGCAGAGCCGCCCCCCACCCCCCGCGCCUGCCAGGUAGGGGAACUGUGACCACGGACAGAAAAGGCCCAGUGGCCCGCGGUGGGACAGAGCUUCCAAUCACUCCUGCAAGGUAGGCGGGCCUGCGACCCACCGGCAGAAGAGGAGCAGCGGCCUGCUGAGAGGCUGAGCCGCCCCCUCCCCCUGCGCCGGCAAAGUAGAGGGAACUGUGACCACGCACAGAGCAGGCCCAGCGGCCUGCUGAGGGGCAGAGCCGCCCCCCACCCCCCGCGCCUGCCAGGUAGGGGAACUGUGACCACGGACAGAAAAGGCCCAGUGGCCCGCGGCGGGACAGAGCUUCCAAUCACUCCUGCAAGGUAGGCGGGCCUGCGACCCACC
rnacentral:lncRNA from 1 species